AUGGCAGUCGUGGUUGGCACUGUGGCCGGCAGCGUAGCCGGUAAGAUCGUGCCCAAGCUCUUGGAUUUCUUACUGGAGAAGCACAAGCUGCGGGGGGAGCUGGAGAAUGAAAUCAAGUACAUCAAGAGCGAGUCCGCGAUGAUCUGCGCCGCCAUCCGAGAGGACGGCGCUCACCCCCCGUGGAGCGGCGACGAGGUGCACAAGGAAUGGAUCCAGAUGGUGCGCGACCUGGCGUACGCCAUCGACGACUGCAUCGACCGCUUCAUGCACCGGGUGGCGCCGGUGGCCGGCGCGUCGUUCGUCCGCCGGAAGGCCCACAAGAUGGAGACGGUGAAGGCCCGUAACGAGUUCGCCUCCGCCAUCCGCCGUCUCAGGAAGACGUCGGAGGACGCGUCCGUGCUCCGAACAAAGUACACCACCGGCGUGUACGGACGCGGCGGUGGCGGUGGUGGUGCCUGGGAGUCAGGGCCAGCGGCACCUGAGACAGAGACAGACACCACCGUCUCAGCUGCUGGCCUGCCGGUGCCCGCCGUGGGAAUGGACAUGUCCCUGGAUGAGCUCAUGGAGCUGAUAGGGGAAACCUCGGCGCAAGGCCAACAACCCAAGGAGCUCAAGGUGAUCUCCAUUGUAGGAUUCGGUGGCAUAGGGAAGACUCUGCUUGCCAGGUAUGCAUACAGCAACCCCGCCGUCGUUGGCCAAUACCCAGCAAGGGCUUGGGUUCGUGCUGCCAAGAAAGGCGAAAUGGAUGUUCUCAAUGACAUACUCCGGCAACUUGGAAUGGAUCCCACCACCGUUUGUAGUGGUGAUGGAAGUCAAGGCAGCGCCAAACUCUGCGCAACCAUAAACGCUUACCUUCAAACCAAGAGGUUCUUCAUUGUAAUCGAUGACAUGCAGACAGAGUUUUGGGGAGAAAUAAAAGAUGCUUUCCCUGUGGUCCCUAGGGAAGACAACAGAGUUAUCGUUACGACGGUCAACCGGACCAUAGCAAAUAAGUGCAGCUCUCCUGCUGGUCAUGUCUACUUAAUGAGAACUCUUGCUGACAAACCCUCAAGAGAGUUGUUCUUCGAGAAAGCUUGUUUGGUGUGUCCAACACCAACCGGUGAUACUGAGCUGGGUUCGGAAGUACUAAAGAAAUGUGAUGGCCUACCCCUUGCUCUUGUUUCCGCAGCCCAGUUGUUGCACGGUGACCCCACACGGGAACAGUGGGCACAUCUGGGUGAAAACCUUGGCAGAGAUCUGGCGACAAAUGGCAACUUAGCAAGUAUGAAUCAUGCGCUUGUCCGUAGCUACACCAGCUUAAGUAAGCAAGAUGUCAAGAUCUGCUUACUAUAUCUGGGAAUUUACCCAAGUGGCCGUCCAAUCAGGAGGGGAAGCCUUCUAAGGAGAUGGUUAGCUGAAAAGUUAAUCACAGAAGACCCUACAUGCAGUGCCCUCAAGGUCGCUGUUGAUAAUUUCAAUGAGCUGGUCAAUAAAAGUAUCAUCCAGCCUAUUACUUGUGCCAACAGCAGCAACAGCGCAGAGGCAAAGACAUGCCAAACUCAUGGUAUGAUGCUCGAGUUCAUCCGGCACAACACUGAGAAUUUUGUCACCUUGUUAUACGAUAAUGCUCCGCUGCCCGGUAAUGUCCGCUGGCUUUCUCUGCAUAAUGAAGUUGCUGUACGGUCCAACAUAAAUCCCAAUGGUUUGCCUCUUCUCCGAUCUCUAACAAUCUUCGGUGAGGUGCGCAACUGUAUGUUGGAUUUUUCCAAGUAUGAGCUGAUGCGAGUUUUGGAUCUAGAUGAAUGUGGUAACCAGUUGGAGGACAAGCACCUCAAGGUGAUAUGCAGCAACCUGUUGCUACUUAGGUACCUGAGCCUCAGGGGAGCUGCUGCAGUUACAGUUAUUCCGAAAGAGAUCAAGAAGCUUAAGCUUUUGGAGACACUGGAUGUAAGAGGAACCAAUAUAAAGGUUCUACCAACACAAGUCAUGAAGUUGCCAUGCCUGAUUCAUCUGUUUGGAAAGUUCAUUGUAGAAGACCGGAAAAUGGGUAAGCUACAGACUUGGUUGGAAAAGAAGAGUAAAUUGCAAACAGUAGCUGGAUUUGUUGUAGACGAAAAGAGCCAAGGAUUUGCACAGCUUACAGAGCAUAUGCAUCAGUUGACGAAGGUGAAACUAUGGUGCACGCGGUCAACUAAUAAAAGUACCGAUCCCAUCGCCACCACUAGCAGCAACUUGAGUCACCUCUCAAAGGCCAUUAAGGGGUUCAUCAUGAGAAGCACCCAGGUGAAAGAAGCUCACUCACUCUCACUGAAUUUCAAUGAUGAAUGGUUCCAAGGCUUGCUCGUGGACUUGUCCCUAGAAAAAGAAGCUCCCCCUUGCUACCUGAGCUCGCUCAAGCUACAAGGGGACAACAUAUGUAGCUUGCCUCCGUUUGUUACCAUGCUGCGUGGUCUCACUAAGUUGUGCCUUUCAUCCCCAAAUCAACAGCUUCAGCUGGGUGAGGAGAUUCUUGCUGCCCUGAGCAAAGUGUGUGGCCUGGAAUACCUGAAGAUCAUUGCAACUCAACUAGCUGAUCUCAUCAUCGGACCAGUAACACUUGGAAGCUUGCGGCGCCUAUGCAUCGUUGUGGAAGCCAUGACAGAGCUGGAAAUCCAGCAGGGAGCUUUGCCGCGUCUAGAAUCGCUUCAGUUGCUAUGUAAGAAUCUUGAUGGCUUUUGCCACGCGGCGGAGAUCCAGUCCCUGCCACGUCUCAGUGAGGUUGCUCUCCAUAAUGGUGUGAACAGUGGAACAAAACAAAAGUGGAAAGAGGCAGCAAAAAGCCACCCCAGGCGUCCCAAGCUCUUGUUUGUUAAGUCGACCGAAGAGGUUGAUGUGGAAAGUGAACCUGCGACGCCAACUACUGGUGCGACGUUGCCAUUGAAAGGACCACACGGUGCCAUUUCUACCAGGCAGUCUGGUAAUCAAGGGUUGUGCAUUAUAUUAUGCUUAAUCGCCACAUUGGUUAUUGUCAUUGGCUGGUUUUCAGAAACGCGGCCUGCAAAAGAAACAGCACCUGGGCUCUCAGUAGCUGUCACUAAUGGAAAAUAA
rnacentral:rRNA from 1 species